rnacentral:rRNA from 1 species
AAUGAACGUUGGCGGCGUGGAUUAGGCAUGCAAGUCGAACGGGCCCGCAAGGGUCAGUGGCGGAAGGGUGAGUAAGGCGACGGCAACCAACCCCGAGGAUGGGUACAGCCGCGGGAAACUGCGGGUAAUCCCCAGCGAUGCGCGGGCGUCGGCAUCGACGCUUCGCCAAAUGGAUUCGUCCGCCUCGGGACGGGCCGUCGGGGUAUUAGGUUGUUGGCGGGGUAACGGCCCACCAAGCCUGCGAUGCCUACCGGGCGUGCGAGCGUGGCCCGGCACACUGGGACUGAGACACUGCCCAGACUCCUACGGGAGGCUGCAGUCGAGAAUCUUCGGCAAUGGGCGCAAGCCUGACCGAGCGACGCCGCGUGGAGGACGAAGGCCUUCGGGUUGUAAACUCCUGUCGAGGGGGAGAAAGGCUCCGCGAGGGGCUUGAUCGAUCCCUGGAGGAAGCACGGGCUAAGUUCGUGCCAGCAGCCGCCGUAAAAC